rnacentral:rRNA from 1 species
UUCGCAAUGCCCGAAAGGGUGACUAUGCGACGCCGCGUGUGCGAUGAAGGUCUUCGGAUUGUAAAGCACUGUCAGCUGGGAGGAAUCUCGGGGGGUCGAACAGAUCCGCCGGGUGACAGUACCAGCAGAGGAAGCCACGGCUAACUCCGUGCCAGCAGCCGCGGUAAUACGGAGGUGGCAGGCGUUACUCGGAUUGAUUGGGUGUAAAGGGUUUGUAGGCGGUGCGCUAAGUCGAAUGUGAAAUCCCUUGGCUUAACCAAGGAACUGCAUUCGAUACUGGCGUGCUUGAGUGAUGGAGAGGAAAGUGGAAUUCCCGGUGUAACAGUGAAAUGUGUAGAUAUCGGGAGGAACACCAGUGGCGAAGGCGACUUUCUGGACAUCUACUGACGCUGAAAAACGAGAGCAUAGGGGAGCAAACAGGAUUAGAUACCCUGGUAGUCCAUGCCGUAAACGAUGGGCACUAAGUAGAGGGGUUUU